rnacentral:lncRNA from 1 species
UUCGCGUUGGUGUCGCUCAUGCCGGUUGGACUUGCUCUUCACGGACCAGUUGUGUGGAUAGAGCCUGAUAGUCGCAACGGGGCAGGGACGGGUGUGUUCACAGUCCCAGGGACGGGUAUGCUUACAGUCCCGAUUGGAUUGGGUCAGAUUUAACAUUUCCUACAGCUGGUUAGUGUAGAGCAUGAUAGUGUAGUGAACGAUAGCGGUAGAGUUUACUUCCUGCUUUCCUGACUAUUCUUGCUCCCUCAUGUAGACUUAGUGGGUGGACCGAUGUUGUUUUGGGC